rnacentral:tRNA from 1 species
AGGUUUAUAUUGUCUCGCUCCAAA